UAGGGAAUCUUCGGCAAUGGGGGCAACCCUGACCGAGCAACGCCGCGUGAGUGAAGAAGGUUUUCGGAUCGUAAAGCUCUGUUGUAAGAGAAGAACGAGUGUGAGAGUGGAAAGUUCACACUGUGACGGUAUCUUACCAGAAAGGGACGGCUAACUACGUGCCAGCAGCCGCGGUAAUACGUAGGUCCCGAGCGUUGUCCGGAUUUAUUGGGCGUAAAGCGAGCGCAGGCGGUUUGAUAAGUCUGAAGUUAAAGGCUGUGGCUCAACCAUAGUUCGCUUUGGAAACUGUCAAACUUGAGUGCAGAAGGGGAGAGUGGAAUUCCAUGUGUAGCGGUGAAAUGCGUAGAUAUAUGGAGGAACACCGGUGGCGAAAGCGGCUCUCUGGUCUGUAACUGACGCUGAGGCUCGAAAGCGUGGGGAGCGAACAGGAUUAGAUACCCUGGUAGUCCACGCCGUAAACGAUGAGUGCUAGGUGUUGGAUCCUUUCCGGGAUUCAGUGCCGCAGCUAACGCAUUAAGCACUCCGCCUGGGGAGUACGACCGCAAGGUUG
rnacentral:rRNA from 1 species